rnacentral:rRNA from 1 species
CAAGUCGAACGAAGCCCGAGUAGCAAUACGAGGGUUGAGUGGCGAAUGGGUGCGUAACACGUAGGUGACCUGCCCUGAAGCGGGGAAUAACAGUUCGAAAGGACUGCUAAUACCGCAUGUGGUUGCGGGGUUUUGAAGCCCGCAACGAAAGGCGCUCGUAAGAGUGUCACUUCAGGAGGGGCCUGCGGCCCAUCAGCUCGUUGGUAGGGUAAUGGCCUACCAAGGCAACGACGGGUAGGGGACCUCAGAGGGUGACCCCCCACACUGGCACUGACACACGGGCCAGACUCCUACGGGAGGCAGCAGUCGGGAAUAUUGCCCAAUGGUCGAAAGACUGAGGCAGCAACGCCGCGUGCGCGAUGAAGGCCUUCGGGUCGUAAAGCGCUUUUCGGGUGGAUGAGGAAGGACAGUACACCCGGAAUAAGGAACGGCUAACUACGUGCCAGCAGCCGCGGUAAAACGUAGGUUCCGAGCGUUAUCCGGAUUUACUGGGCGUAAAGCGCGUUCAGGCGGUUUGGCAAGUCGGGCAUGAAAUCUCUCGGCUCAACCGGGAGAGGUUGUCCGAUACUGCUGGACUUGAGGGCAGUAGAGGGUGGUGGAAUUCCGGGUGUAGUGGUGAAAUGCGUAGAUAUCCGGAGGAACACCAGUGGCGAAAGCGGCCACCUGGACUGCACCUGACGCUGACACGCGAAAGCUAGGGGAGCGAACGGGAUUAGAAACCCCGGUAGUCCUAGCUAUAAACGAUGUUGACUAGGUGUCGACGGUCUAAACCCCGCCGGUGCCGGAGCAAACGCAUUAAGUCAACCGCCUGGGGACUACCGCCGCAAGGUUAAAACUCAAAGGAAUUGACGGGGACCC